GAGCUUUAAUUAACUAACCCAUGAACACUAUUAUAUCUCCAAAGAAAUAAAAACAGUUUAUUUGGGUCAGCAAUUUAGGUUGGGGUGACCUCGGGAUAAAAACUAGCUCCCGAAAACAACCAUCUAGACUCACUUGUCAAAGUUAUUUAAUCUUAAUAUUGACCCGUCAAUGACGAUCAACGGAACAAGUUACCCUAGGGAUAACAGCGCAAUCCUAUUUAAGAGUUCUUAUCGACAAUUAGGGUUUAC
rnacentral:rRNA from 1 species